GACGAACGCUGGCGGCGUGCUUAACACAUGCAAGUCGAGCGGUAAGGCCCUUUCGGGGGUACGACGAGCGGCGAACGGGUGAGUAACACGUGGGUGGACCUGCCCUCCAGCUCUGGGAGUAAGCCUGGGAAACCGGGGUCGUAAUACCGGAUAUGACUCCAUGACGCAUGUUGUGGGGUGGAAAGCCUUGUGCGGCUGAGGACGGGCCCGCGGCCUAUCAGCUUGUUGGUGGGGUGAUGGCCUACCAAGGCGACGACGGGUAGCCGGCCUGAGAGGGCGACCGGCCACACUGGGACUGAGACACGGCCCAGACUCCUACGGGAGGGCAGCAGUGGGGAAUCUUGCGCAAUGGGCGAAAGCCUGACGCAGCGACGCCGCGUGAGGGAUGAC
rnacentral:rRNA from 1 species